AUACGUAGGGGGCAAGCGUUAUCCGGAAUUACUGGGUGUAAAGGGAGAGUAGGCGGCAUGGUAAGUUAGAUGUGAAAGCCCGUGGCUUAACCACGGGAUUGCAUUUAAAACUAUCAAGCUAGAGUACGGGAGAGGAAAGUGGAAUUCCUAGUGUAGCGGUGAAAUGCGUAGAUAUUAGGAGGAACACCAGUGGCGAAGGCGACUUACUGGACGAUAACUGACGCUGAGGCUCGAAAGCGUGGGGAGC
rnacentral:rRNA from 1 species